UAAUUCUUCGGGGAGCCGCCGUAGGGAAUCUUCCCCCAAUGGGGGAAAUCUGACGGCGCAACGCCGGCUUGGUGGAGGAAGGCUUUGGAUCGUAAAGCUCUGUUGUUAGGGAAGAACAAGUGCCGUUCAAAUAGGGCGGCACCUGGCCGGACCCUAACAAGAAACCCCCGGUAAAUUCCUGGCCACCGCCCCCGUAAU
rnacentral:rRNA from 1 species